rnacentral:rRNA from 1 species
CCGAAGGGAAUUGGAACACAGGUGCUGCAUGGCUGUCGUCAGCUCGUGUCGUGAGAUGUUGGGUUAAGUCCCGCAACGAGCGCAACCCUUAUCAUUAGUUGCUACGCAAGGGCACUCUAAUGAGACUGCCGGUGACAAACCGGAGGAAGGUGGGGAUGACGUCAAGUCCUCAUGGCCCUUAUGGUAGGGCUUCACACGUCAUACAAUGGUCGGUACAGAGGGUUGCCAAGCCGCGAGGUGGAGCCAAUCCCAGAAAGCCGAUCGUAGUCCGGAUUGUUCUCUGCAACUCGAGAGCAUGAAGUCGGAAUCGCUAGUAAUCGCGGAUCAGCAUGUCGCGGUGAAUACGUUCCCGGGUCUU